rnacentral:rRNA from 1 species
CAGUCGCCACGGUAAUACGGAGGGGGCUAGCGUUGUUCGGAAUUACUGGGCGUAAAGCGCACGUAGGCGGCUUGGUAAGUUAGAGGUGAAAGCCCAGGGCUCAACCCUGGAAUUGCCUUUAAGACUGCCGAGCUAGUAGGUGAGAGAGGUAAGUGGAAUUCCGAGUGUAGAGGUGAAAUUCGUAGAUAUUCGGAAGAACACCAGUGGCGAAGGCGGCUUACUGGCUCAUUCUAGACGCUGAGGUGCGAAAGCGUGGGGAGCAAACAGGAUUAGAUACCCGUGUAGUCCCUGUCUCUUAUAA